AAUGGAGGCAACUCUGAACCAGCCAUGCCGCGUGAAGGAAGAAUGUCUACGGAUUGUAAACUUCUUUUAUUUGGGAAGAACUCCACUACGUGUAGUGGACUGACGGUACCAAACGAAUAAGCACCGGCUAACUCCGUGCCAGCAGCCGCGGUAAUACGGAGGGUGCAAGCGUUAUCCGGAAUCAUUGGGUUUAAAGGGUUCGCAGGCGGCCUAUUAAGUCAGUGGUGAAAUCCUACAGCUCAACUGUAGAACUGCCAUUGAUACUGAUAGACUUGAAUAUAGUUGGAGUAGGCGGAAUGUGUAGUGUAGCGGUGAAAUGCUUAGAUAUUACACAGAACACCGAUAGCGAAGGCAGCUUACUAAACUAUUAUUGACGCUCAUGAACGAAGGCGUGGGGAGCGAACAGGAUU
rnacentral:rRNA from 1 species